GAUGAACGCUGGCGGCGUGCCUAACACAUGCAGGUCGAGCGAGGAUGAGGAAGCUUGCUUCCAAAUCCUAGCGGCGGACGGGUGAGUAACGCGUGGGCAACCUACCCUAUGCAGGGGGAUAACAUUGGGAAACCAGUGCUAAUACCGCAUAAAGCCGAGAAGGGGCAUCCCUUUAUGGUCAAAGAACUUCGGCAUAGGAUGGGCCCGCGUCCGAUGAGUUAGUUGGUAAGGUAACGGCUUACCAAGACGAUGAUCAGUUGCCGACCUGAGAGGGUGACCGGCCACACUGGAACUGAGACACGGAGCAGACUCCUACGGGAGGCAGCAGUGGGGAAUAUUGCACAAUGGGGAAACCCUGAUGCAGCAACGCCGCGUGAGCGAAGAAGGCCUUCGGGUCGUAAAGCUCUGUCCUAAGGGAAGAUAAUGACGGUACCUUAGGAGGAAGCCCCGGCUAACUACGUGCCAGCAGCCGCCGUAA
rnacentral:rRNA from 1 species